CAAAGAAUAGUUUAAUAUUAGAAUCCUAGUUUUGGGGGCUAGGGGUAGAGGUUUGAGUCCUCUUUCUUUGA
rnacentral:tRNA from 1 species